rnacentral:rRNA from 1 species
GACGAACGCUGGCGGCGUGCUUAACACAUGCAAGUCGAACGGAAAGGCCCUGCUUUUGUGGGGUGCUCGAGUGGCGAACGGGUGAGUAACACGUGAGUAACCUGCCCUUGACUUUGGGAUAACUUCAGGAAACUGGGGCUAAUACCGGAUAGGAGCUCCUGCUGCAUGGUGGGGGUUGGAAAGUUUCGGCGGUUGGGGAUGGACUCGCGGCUUAUCAGCUUGUUGGUUGGGUAGUGGCUUACCAAGGCUUUGACGGGUAGCCGGCCUGAGAGGGUGACCGGCCACAUGGGGACUGAGAUACGGCCCAGACUCCUACGGGAGGCAGCAGUGGGGAAUAUGGCACAAUGGGCGGAAGCCUGAUGCAGCAACGCCGCGGGCGGGAUGACGGCCUUCGGGUUGUAAACCGCUUUCGCCUGUGACGAAGCGUGAGUGACGGUAAUGGGUAAAGAAGCACCGGCUAACUACGUG